rnacentral:rRNA from 1 species
UACGGAGGAUGCAAGCGUUAUCCGGAUUUAUUGGGUUUAGAGGGUGCGCAGGUUGUUUGAUAAGUCAGUGGUGAAAGUCUGUCGCUUAACGGUAGGAUUGCCAUUGAUACUGUUAGACUUGAAUAUGGAUGAGGUAGGCGGAAUGUGUAGUGUAGCGGUGAAAUGCAUAGAUACUACACAGAACACCGAUUGCGAAGGCAGCUUACUAAUCCAUCAUUGACGCUGAGGCACGAAAGCGUGGGGAUCAAA